CUCAGAAUGAACGCUGGCGGCGUGCUUACACAUGCAAGUCGAACGAGAAAUCUUUAGCUUGCUAGAGAGAGUAAAGUGGCGCACGGGUGAGUAACGCGUGGGUAAUCUGCCUCCGAAUCGGGGAUAACAUUGCGAAAGCGAUGCUAAUACCGGAUAAAAUCUGGUUGGCUUAGGUGAACCGGAUCAAAGGUGGUCUCUUUAUAAAAGCUACCGUUUGGAGAUGAGCUCGCGUACCAUUAGCUAGUUGGUGAGGUAAAGGCUCACCAAGGCGACGAUGGUUAGCUGGUCUGAGAGGAUGAUCAGCCACACCGGAACUGGAACACGGUCCGGACUCCUACGGGAGGCAGCAGUGAGGAAUUUUGCGCAAUGGGGGAAACCCUGACGCAGCAACGCCGCGUGAGUGAUGAAGGCUUUCGGGUCGUAAAGCUCUGUCAGGUGGGAAGAACCCACCAAGUGUUAAGACCACUUGGUGCUGACGGUACCACCGAAGGAAGCACCGGCUAACUCCGUGCCAGCAGCCGCGGUAAUACGGGGGGUGCGAGCGUUAUUCGGAAUCAUUGGGCGUAAAGGGCGCGCAGGCGGUUUUGUAAGUCAGAUGUGAAAUCCCGGGGCUUAGCCCCGGAAGUGCAUAUGAAACUAUGAGACUUGAGUAUGGGAGAGGGAAGCGGAAUUCCUGGUGUAGCGGUGAAAUGCGUAGAUAUCAGGAGGAACACCGGUGGCGAAGGCGGCUUCCUGGACCAAUACUGACGCUGAGGCGCGAAGGCGUGGGGAGCGAACAGGAUUAGAUACCCUGGUAGUCCACGCAGUAAACGUUGAUCACUAGGUGUAGCGGGUAUUGACCCCUGCUGUGCCGGAGUUAACGUAUUACGUGAUCCGCCUGGGGAGUACGAUCUCAAGAUUAAAACUCAAAGGAAUUGACGGGGGCCCGCACAAGCGGUGGAGCAUGUGGUCUCAUUCGACGCAACGCGAAGAAC
rnacentral:rRNA from 1 species